rnacentral:rRNA from 1 species
UACGGAGGGUGCGAGCGUUGUCCGGAAUCAUUGGGCGUAAAGGGCGCGUAGGUGGCGCGGUAAGCGUGCGGUGAAAGCUCGGGGCUCAACCCCGAGUCGGCCGUGCGAACUGCUGGGCUUGAGCACUGUAGAGGCAGGCGGAAUUCCUGGUGUAGCGGUGAAAUGCGCAGAUAUCAGGAGGAACACCGGUGGCGAAGGCGGGUCUCUGGGCCGAUACUGACGCUGAGGAGCGAAAGCGUGGGGAGCGAACAGG